AGAUUGAACGCUAGCGGGAUGCUUUACACAUGCAAGUCGAACGGCAGCGCGGACUUCGGUCUGGCGGCGAGUGGCGAACGGGUGAGUAAUAUAUCGGAACGUGCCCAGUAGCGGGGGAUAACUACGCGAAAGCGUGGCUAAUACCGCAUACGCCCGUACGGGGGAAAGGGGGGAUUCUUCGGAACCUCUCACUAUUGGAGCGGCCGAUAUCAGAUUAGCUAGUUGGUAGAGGUAAAGGCUCACCGAAGGCGACGAUCUGUAGCUGGUUUGAGAGGACCGACCAGCCACACUGGGACUGAGACACCGGCCAGACUCCGUACGGGAGGCAGCAGGUGGGUAAUUUGGAACUAAGUA
rnacentral:rRNA from 1 species